rnacentral:rRNA from 1 species
UACGAAGGGGGCUAGCGUUGCUCGGAAUCACUGGGCGUAAAGGGUGCGUAGGCGGGUCUUUAAGUCAGGGGGGAAAUCCUGGAGCUCAACUCCAGAACUGCCUUUGAUACUGGCGACCUUGAGUCCGGGAGAGGUGAGUGGAACUGCGAGUGUAGAGGUGAAAUUCGUAGAUAUUCGCAAGAACACCAGUGGCGAAGGCGGCUCACUGGCCCGGUACUGACGCUGAGGUGCGAAAGCGUGGGGAGCAAACAGG